UACAGGAAGGUGGCGGUAAUGCACAAGAAUUGGUCCGAUCCGCCAAAUAUAAACAAAGAAGAAGAGACAUUUUGAAAUGCCGUACACGUGCAAUAAUAAAAGCAAACGGCUUGGAUAUAAUGUUAUAUAUGUUUAACAAUGGAAGUUGAAUAUGCCUGUUUGUUAUUGAAGGUUAAAUAUAAUUAAUAAAUAAAUAAUAAUAAUGAAAGCAAGCGACGUUUGAACCUUCCUGUUUGGACGACAGUGGAAGACACCGGCAGGUGAACAUUUGAAGUGUGGAAGAAAGUGAAAAGUCAAAGGAGAACACGCAAGCUACUGGAGGAUGCCUAGCAGUUUUCACAUAAAGAAAGACAAAAUAUGGGUUGGAGGUUAAUCAGUGACUUUUAAAGGCUGAUUUCCUGAGUUUCCUGAUCACUUUAUGCCUGAUUUUCACCAAGAUGUCCAUUGACAGCACCAUUGAAGUUCCUGAAGGUACCAGAUGUUUAAAUUGCAAUGCCACCAUCAAUGUAAGUACAUGAGCUCUCACAGCAUCAGAAAUCACUGAAGUAUGUUGUAUUCUGUACAAAGAGUGAGAAUGAGGCAUAUACUGAAACCCAUGGAGAGCGCAGAAAGUGUCCUGAAGACUGCUUUAGUGAAACUAUGGAUUUGGACAGACGCAGUACACAGAACAUACUGAUUUUUGAUAAGACUUUAUACUAAUUCUCACUAUUAACUAGUGGCUUAUUACCUGAUUAUUAUUAUUAUUAUUAUUAAGGUUAUCACUUAACAAUAAGGGUGUAUUAGUUAAUGUAAGUUAAUGCAUUAGUUAACAUAAAUUAACGGGGAGCAACACACUUGUUAAGCAUCACUUAAUAAAUGUUAAUGUUAACUAAACGUAUGAAUGUGUUAAUACGUAAAAUGAACUAAUGGUGAAAAACAACUACUAUUCACCAUUACAUAACCUUUGUUAAUGUUAAUUUACUCGUAUUCUAAUUCUUAAUGCACAUCUUUACAUUAACAGCCUAAUAAGUUAAAUGUUUACUUGCACAUAAACUAAUGCAUUUGUUAAUGGAUUAGAUUACAUGACAUAACACUGAACAACACGUUUAUUCAGCAAUACUGAAUCUCACAUGUAAACUAAACAUAUAUUAAUCUGUUAAUUAGUAGAUUAGUUUGUAAUGGAUGUGUGAAUGGUCUUUUCCAGAAAAAUUCCAGAACAUCCUUGCCUGUGUGAACAGCACAUUUUUGAACUUACAGGUAAUGUCGUUCCAGAAAUUUUCUGGAUAUUGAAUAUAUAUAUAUGACUGUGUGAGGGGCGUUUAUAGACGUUUAUCAGCAUUGGUCUUAACAUUAAUAUUAAUUUGUGCCUAUUCCACAUUAAAAACUGUUUAACUCUGUUUUGCUUGGGAACUUGUGUGGUAAGAAUCUUUAUUGGGCAGCGUUCUGCAGAAGCCUCUUAAACAGUGUACUAGUACAGUCAGAUAAUUUCCCACCUACCGUGUCAUAGCUCAUUACCAUCAGCUGUCCUUGAUGAUCACAUUGCCCAAAUGCACCGCACUGCUUUCAUCUUAGCUCGCCACCAGCUCCCCAUUGAAAAUUAAUGGCUUCUGGCUACUUUGACACUCUUGCCAACAACGGUUUGAACGCACUGUAAGAGUCAAUCUCAUGUUUACUGCCUGUUUAGUGAGGUACUUAAAAUAUUUGGCAUGCCCAUUUUUUUAGCCAACUGACUGAUUUCACUAACUUCAAGUUGUUGUUAAUUGUGUCUUAGAAAUUUCAAGUCAUUUUUAUUAAUAAAGUGCUUUAUGCAAUGCAGAUUGUGUCAAAGAAGCUUUACAGUGAUGAACAUGGAAAUGAUCAAAUCCAGAUAACAAUAUUUAAUUGUUGAGAGACGUUUUCAAAAUAAUAAUUACACAAUUGAUUCAUUGGUUGGUUGUUUGUUUGAUUGACAGUUGAUUUAUUGUCUGAAUUGAACCAUUUUACUUACGUGUUGUUUGUAUGCAGCAAUUUCAAGUUAUUAUUAAAGGACAUUUAAAACACUAUAA